CCCCCCCCCCCCCCGUCCCCUUUCUUUCAGAGGCUGAGAGGCGGGAAGGCUGGGGAACUUAUUCUCAAGGCUCUUCGGUAGUAGCGGGGGAACCGCAGAGGAAAAAGGCCCGGGAGGGGUCAGCCAGUCUCAGGCCGGGCCCUGCCCAGCCCCCACUUCCCCUCCCCAGGCCCUGGCUCCCGGCCUCUCUGGGCCGGGGGCCUGGGCUGGCACUGGGCAGUGGGGGCCUGGAGAGGAAGGAGGCUCGGCGGGCGGCUAAGGGGGAGGUUUCUGCACUGAAGGUCACGCUGUCCUGCAGCUCGGGCAGCCCAGAGAGAAUCAGGUGGGUCAUCACCAGCCCUGCUGUUCUCCGCACCUGCUGAGCUGGGUCCCGGAGCCUAGGAGCGAAAUCUCAAGUCACUGGCACUAAUGGAACAGCAGCAAGGAGGCAGGGUGUCUUCCUCAUUUAACAGUAGAAAACCAGAGAUUCCCAGAAGGAAACUCUUCUGCUCCUGCUCUUCCCGAAGAACCCGGCGCCGACAGAGCUCCCCGCUCACUGCCUGUUCCAAGUGCACCAGCUGCUGCAGAGCCACAUCUCCAGCCAGGGACAGCAGUCGCUCAAACAACCUAUGUUGCUGAGGCAGCCGGAAGGGAGGGUGACGUUUGCUCAGAGAAGGCUGUCGAGAACAGGAAAGACAAAAGCGUCUGUCUGGAUCUGAGCCUCACCGUGCCAUCAUCCCAAGAAGCAUGACAGAGGAACAGCGCUCCAGAGGAGAGCAGGGGACCUUCUCGGUCGCCCGCUCCCACAGCAGCUGGGUCACUGCAGGUUUCAAUUCAUCCUUCUGCACAAACUCACAGAGCUGAAGAGAAAAGAGAAAGGGCUCAGGCCAAAAAAUAACAACCCCCCCCCAAUCCUUGGUCCACUUCUCUGAAGAGAGUGUUGAGAGCCCGAAGUGGGUAAAAGCAAUACUUAGGGAUGGAAAAGGAAGAAGGAGGCUCGAAAUGUAAAGUUGGGGUUUGGGGAGGUACUUGCACCUCUGUCACUUUUUUACCUUCAUGCCUUCAAAACUACAUUUAUUAAGAUGACAUAUUGAAGUCUGUGUGAGUCCAUGGCUCUGACUACAUUCCGGGGAUUUCUAGUAGCUGUUGUUGCUGUGACCACAACUCAACAUGUCUAAAACAGAAGACUCCAUCCUUCCUUGCCUUUUCAUUUUGCCCAGGGUACCAACAUUCUCAACCACAUAUGCUUAACACUUCACAGUCAGCUAAUUUCUUCCCCACUUAAUCCUAUCCAUUUUUCCUUUAUAAUCUGUCUUCCAUUAAGUGCAACUCCACAGCUUUUCCUCCCAGCCCGAGUCUAGUCCUUUGAUGCUGCACAUUUACAGAAGGUCCGUAGACCUCGUCUCUAGCCUCCUCUCCAACCAACCCGUAUGCUCCUGUUGGACCAGUCUCCCAAACAUCUUCUUCAUCACGCCACACCUCUGCUCAUCAUUUAGAAAUAGCUCUCCUUUGGAGCACCUGGGUGGCUCAGUCGGUUAAGUGUCCGAUUCUGGCUCAGGUCAUGAUCCUGCAGUUCGUGAGUUCAAGACCCGCAUCAGGCUGUGUGCUGACAGCUCAGAGCCUGGAGUCUGCUUCAGAUAGAUUCUGUGUCUCCCUCUCUCUCUGACCCUCCCCCACUCACGCUCUGUCUCUCUCUCAAAAAUAAAUAAACAUAAAAAAAAAAAAAAAAAAAAGAAAAGAAACAAAACUCUCCUUUGCCUAUAGUAGGGGCUCUGGACCAGGAGAGCCAGCCUGACAUUUCAGCCCAGCGGCUGCCACCAGGCUCCUUUUCUCCGCAAGAGAAAAAUGUGGCUGGAGGUAGUGCUCCACCUGGUGGAAGCUGGUGGUCAGCACCACCUCCACCUGUCUCCACAACCCAAAUACUUGUACUUCAAAAGCAGGUCCACCUCACUAAGAUGUUGGCCAACAAGGUGAAAGUCCCGGACUUGUGAAAGGCAUUCAGGGACCUUUAUAAGUCAGUUCCAACCUACACUCCCUCUUUAUUAUCUUUUGCAGAUAACAGUUUCCAGCCAGAACGUUAUCUUUUUCAUGCCACAACUUUCUGUGCUCUUAAUUGGCUUUCCAUCUACAUGCUCCCUCCUUUCUCUCUCUACAUCCUACUCAUCAAGACCCUGUUUAAGUCCUACCACCUCCAGAAAGCUUUCCUUGACUGUUCUACCUCAUACUGCUCUCUUGCCCACUCAGGACUCGUCAGGGUAACAUACAAGGUAUGAGUACGUUUUCUGGAGCUCUUAUUGCCUGAGUCUCUGCCACCAACCAGCUGUGAUUAGCCAAGUUCCUUAACCUCUCAGUGCCUUAAGCUUCUCACUGUAAAAUGUACACUAACAGUAUUACCUCACAGGGUUGUUGUGAGGGUUACACAAGUUCAUAUGAGCAAACUGCUAAGAACAGUCCCUGGCAUGUCAUUAGUGUUACCCUAUCACCAUUGCUGCUACAACCAUUACCUGUGCCACAUUUUUCUGGCACUGAAUUACCUAUGUGCCACAUCAUUCUAUAACUGUUUUAUGUUUUUUGGCUACCCACUAUACUGUUGGUUCCUUUUAAGUUGGGAACUUGAAAACAAUCUUAUACUUUGUGGGGCUGAGUAAACUGCUGAACAUGUACAUAGUAAUCACUAAUACUUGUUGAAUGAAUAAAGAAAAUAGAAGUAA